CGACUCUGGUUUCUCUUCAUUACGCACAAGCCUUUCGCCUUUUACUAAAGACCUCCGUGGAGAGGAACACUUGCGAGUUCAAUGUAUUUUUGGAGGGGCUUUGCUUCUGGCAGAGCC
ensembl:snRNA U5 U5 spliceosomal RNA